AUUGCAUAUAGGAUUACUAUAUCUGAAUACAAAAUAUAAUGCACCUGUCUAAUCUAAGCCCAUUAUUCUCUUAGCUGGCAAUGAGACACCAUAGGCAUUCAGCUCACUCAAUAAGUCCUUAAUCUAAUGGGUUGGCCAUACAAAACCUAUAAGAACAAUAUAUUAUAUGUGAUAUUUGAUAUGGAAAAAGAAAGAGACAUAAUAUAAUACCUCCCUUCUAUACGUACUAAAAGGUAGGACAAAAUAAGGAGGGGCUUAAUUCUCUCUCUUAAUAACAUUUUUUCUUUCACUCAAUUCUCUCUCAAAAGAACCAAGCCACCUCUUACUUGGGCAUAUAGAUGGUUAAUCUUUUUGAAAAUGGGUAAAUUAACUUUUGACUAUUGUUUUUAUUAUAAUAGGAGAAAAAUGGUGGGUGUAUUUCCACUUCUUGAGUUAUUUCAAAUCCAAUUUACCUUAUAAGUUCUACUAUUUAUACGAUGAGAAAGUGAAGAAAAAAUGGUCAAAAUAAUUAUUAAACUAGGAACAAAUCAAUUUUAGUAGAAACAAUUUAGAAAAAUGGUUCUAUGGUAAAAGGUAUUGGGUGAAAUUGUAUACCUUAUGUAGUGAUCACAAACCUACAAGGUUGCGUAAAGCUAUUUGCAUGUACAAACAUGUAAUUAGAUUAUAAGGGGGAAUAUACAAUCUCUAAAAAUACUCAUAUAUGCAUUUCUUUUAUAUAGAAUUAGUAUGGGCAAAAUUGCUUACUUAGUUUAGCCCACAGUUCACUCCUACACAAUUUAGUAUGAUUUAUGCUUAGAUAAUUGCAUGAUAUUUUAUGAAGCCUAUAAAUCAUGGUUUAAUAGUAGUUUGGAUUAAGUUAUUAUUUUUUCGGAAAAGUACUAUUGCUCAAUAGCUUUCCAUACUAGCUAUAAUCUCCAUUCUAUUUAUGUUUGUCUUUUGUUUAAUAUGGAUCUGAAUUUGGUUUUUCUUUUCUAAUAGGUUGAUACUGUUGGGCAUCAUAUUUUGUUGAUUGUGAUGGCUAAAAUGAAGAGAGCUAUAAUCUUUUCUCUUGAAUGAUUUCAUAGGAUUAAAGGCAUUAAAUAUCAAGAAUGAGGAGAUAGAAUAUCUGUAUAACUGGGAAAGUGAGAAAGAGAGAAACCUUUUAUAGAUUUGUAUUUAUACAGGAUAAGUUAUUAAUGUCAUGGAAAAGAGAAAGACUUGCUCAAAUAAUAUUUGAUAGAUGAUGAUUCACUUUAAUAAAAUUUUAAUUAAAUUAUGAUAUUUUAACUUUUGAGAUUACUUAAAUGAUUAUUUUUGUCUAUUUAUGUCGGUCCUCUUCUAACUUUUGAGCUUGCAAAUGAUAUUGAGAGACUAUUUGGUCAACUUUUUUUUAACUAAUUUGAUAAUAAAUUUUUUUUUUUGUUUUUAUAUGGUAGUGAGUGUUGGGCAAUGAAGGAGCCGUAUGUGUCUAAGAUGAGAGUUGCGGAGAUAAGAAUGUUAAGGUGGAUGAGUGGCUAUACUAGACUAAAUAAAGUAGUAUUAGAGAAAAGGUAGGAGU
rnacentral:misc_RNA from 1 species